rnacentral:rRNA from 1 species
GAUGAACGCUGGCGGCGUGCCUAAUACAUGCCAGUCGAGCGAACAGACGAGGAGCUUGCUCCUCUGAUGUUAGCGGCGGACGGGUGAGUAACACGUGGAUAACCUACCUAUAAGACUGGGAUAACUUCGGGAAACCGGAGCUAAUACCGGAUAACAUGUUGAACCGCAUGGUUCAACAGUGAAAGACGGUCUUGCUGUCACUUAUAGAUGGAUCCGCGCCGCAUUAGCUAGUUGGUAAGGUAACGGCUUACCAAGGCAACGAUGCGUAGCCGACCUGAGAGGGUGAUCGGCCACACUGGAACUGAGACACGGUCCAGACUCCUACGGGAGGCAGCAGUAGGGAAUCUUCCGCAAUGGGCGAAAGCCUGAAGGAGCAACGCCGCGUGAGUGAAGAAGGUCUUCGGAUCGUAAAACUCUGUUAUUAGGGAAGAACAAAUGUGUAAGUAACUAUGCACGUCUUGACGGUACCUAAUCAGAAAGCCACGGCUAACUACGUG